GCUGGACUGUAACCUGACUGGAUGUUCCAUGGUCUCCAUUGUGGUCGAAAGCUGUACUCCAUCACUGAAUAUUGUCUACGCUAUACUUGUCUGGGGAACUCGCUUGGCUGCUUGAGGUCUCUGGAUCGUGUGCUGAGCAUAGAAGUCAGCACGCCGUCGUCGUCCACCAAUCUGUCACCGGGGAAACUGGUGACUUGUAAGGCAUGUUAACAAGAGCCUGACUGAAUGGCCUCUUGUUACUGAAACUGUGUGAUGCACCUGAUCACACAACGAAUGAUUGCUGUGAAUAGCAAUGAGAACUCUGACACUGAAACUCUGGUGAAAACUAACUACUGAGACUUUGGAACUAGCGAUGAAUAAACCAAUAAUUCAGCAUGGAAUACUAAUACUUUUAUUACAGAUGGACUGUGUUCAGUGUAAAGUCCUGAGUCCAAAUCUUGCUUAUUGAAAUUAUAAACAAGUAUUUAUACACAAUUGAAUUAACAAGUAUAGAC
rnacentral:lncRNA from 1 species